rnacentral:ncRNA from 21 species
AAAGUCUUUAAUCACUCGAAGGUCUGCGUACUACGCAGAGGGUUUAUGUAGAGUUAUUUGGGGCUUU